rnacentral:rRNA from 1 species
UACGGAGGGUGCAAGCGUUAUCCGGAUUCACUGGGUUUAAAGGGUGCGUAGGCGGGGAAGUAAGUCCGGGGUGAAAUCUCUGAGCUUAACUCAGAAACUGCCGUGGAUACUAUUUGCCUUGAAUAUUGUGGAGGUGAGCGGAAUAUGUCAUGUAGCGGUGAAAUGCUUAGAUAUGACAUAGAACACCAAUUGCGAAGGCAGCUCACUACACAAUCAUUGACGCUGAGGCACGAAAGCGUGGGGAUCAAACAGG